rnacentral:rRNA from 1 species
ACGCUCGACACCUACGGGAGGCGGCAGUGGGGAAUAUUGCACAAUGGGGGAAACCCUGAUGCAGCGACGCCGCGUGGAGGAAGAAGGUCUUCGGAUUGUAAACUCCUGUUGUUGGGGAAAAAGAGGAUGGUACCCAACAAGGAAGUGACGGCUAACUACGUGCCAGCAGCCGCCGGUAAUCUGAGCGGGCUGGCAAGGC